rnacentral:rRNA from 1 species
GAUGAACGCUGGCGGCGUGCCUAAUACAUGCAAGUCGAGCGAACAGAUAAGGAGCUUGCUCCUUUGACGUUAGCGGCGGACGGGUGAGUAACACGUGGGUAACCUACCUAUAAGACUGGGAUAACUUCGGGAAACCGGAGCUAAUACCGGAUAACAUUUGGAACCGCAUGGUUCUAAAGUGAAAGAUGGUUUUGCUAUCACUUAUAGAUGGACCCGCGCCGUAUUAGCUAGUUGGUAAGGUAACGGCUUACCAAGGCGACGAUACGUAGCCGACCUGAGAGGGUGAUCGGCCACACUGGAACUGAGACACGGUCCAGAAUCCUACGGGAGGCAGCAGUAGGGAAUCUUCCGCAAUGGGCGAAAGCCUGACGGAGCAACGCCGCGUGAGUGAUGAAGGGUUUCGGCUCGUAAAACUCUGUUAUUAGGGAAGAACAAAUGUGUAAGUAACUGUGCACGUCUUGACGGUACCUAAUCAGAAAGCCACGGCUAACUACGUG